UCAAGUUUUGUGUUCUGGGUCGU
rnacentral:piRNA from 1 species